rnacentral:rRNA from 1 species
UAAGGGAUAUUGGUCAAUGGGCGAAAGCCUGAACCAGCAACGCCGCGUGCAGGAUGACGGCCUUCGGGUUGUAAACUGCUUUGGAAGGGGACGAGCAAGGACGGUACCCUUCGAACAAGUCACGGCUAACUACGUGCCAGCAGCCGCGGUAAAACGUAGGUGGCAAGCGUUAUCCGGAUUUACUGGGCGUAAAGCAUGUGCAGACGGGUUGGUAAGUGGUGUAUGAAAGCGUCCGGCUUAACCGGGCAAG